UGGACUUACAGACAGGUGCAAAAAAUAAAUCCUCUUUUGCAACCCAGAACUCAUUGUUCUGUAUGAGUUUUGAUACAUAUAAGAAGGAAUAUU
rnacentral:snoRNA from 1 species